UUUCUUUUUCCAUGACAACUAUUUCUUGUUGCAGUUGUUAGCGUUGGUGCAGCACUUUUCUUGUUUCAACAGUUGGUUGGGAUCAAUGUUGUUGUAUACUAUUCAACUUCUGUAUUCCGUAGUGCGGGGAUUGCCUCUGAUGUUGCAGCAAGUGCUCUUGUUGGAGCCGCAAAUGUCUUUGGCACAGCUGUUGCAUCAUCCUUGAUGGAUAGACAAGGAAGAAAGAGUCUUCUAAUCAUAAGCUUUGGUGGAAUGGCUGCCUCUAUGAUGCUGCUUUCUCUGUCCUUUACUUGGAAGGUUCUGGCACCAUAUUCUGGCCCCCUUGUAGUUCUUG